CAGAAUGCCCAGUUAAAUUAGACUCAGAUAAACAGUGAAUAAUAUUUUGGUAUAAGUAUAUCCUAUGCAAUACUUGGGACAUACCUAUUCUAAAAAAAAUCAUUCCUUGUUUAUCUGAAAAUUUAACUG
rnacentral:miRNA from 1 species